GUUAGGAAUUUUGCGCAAUGGACGAAAGUCUGACGCAGCAACGCCGCGUGAGUGAUGAAGGCCUUCGGGUCGUAAAACUCUUUUAGUUGGAACGAAACUAAUGACGGUACCAGCAGAAAAAGCACCGGCUAACCCUGUGCCAGCAGCCGCGGUAAUACAGGGGGUGCAAGCGUUACUCGGAUUUACUGGGCGUAAAGAGCGUGUAGGCGGUUUGUUAAGUCUGGUGUGAAAUCCCUGGGCUCAAUCCAGGAAGUGCAUUGGAUACUGACAGACUAGAGUACAGGAGGGGUGAGCGGAAUUCCCGGUGUAGAGGUGAAAUUCGUAGAUAUCGGGAGGAACAACAGAGGCGAAGGCGGCUCACUGGACUGUCACUGACGCUAAGGCGCGAAAGCGUGGGGAGCAAACAGGAUUAGAUACCCCUGUAGUCC
rnacentral:rRNA from 1 species